CCUUAGCCCAGAUGGAAACGGCAUCCCACGAUUUUUGGCGUGGAUACAGUGUAUAGUUUGAAAUAGU
rnacentral:sRNA from 1 species